rnacentral:rRNA from 1 species
CCUACGGGAGGCAGCAGUGGGGAAUAUUGCGCAAUGGGCGAAAGCCUGACGCAGCGACGCCGCGUGAGGGAUGAAGGUCUUCGGAUCGUAAACCUCUGUCAGCAGGGAAGAACGGUCACUGUGCUAAUCAGCAGUGAAUUGACGGUACCUGCAAAGGAAGCAUCGGCUAAAUCCGUGCCAGCAGCCGCGGUAAUACGGAGGGUGCGAGCGUUAAUCGGAAUUACUGGGCGUAAAGCGCUCGUAGGCGGUAUGUCAAGUCAAGGGUGAAAUCCCCGCGCUCAAGGUGGGAACUGCCUUUGAAACUGGCAAACUGGAGUGUGUGAGAGGAUAGUGGAAUGCCAGGUGUAGGAGUGAAAUGCGUAGAUAUCUGGAGGAACAUCAGUGGCGAAGGCGACUAUCUGGCACAUAACUGACGCUGAGGAGCGAAAGCGUGGGUAGCAAACAGGAUUAGAUACCCCAGUAGUC